GAACCUGAACUCAGAUGUGAUCAUCCGCUGAACUUAACUAUAUCAUUUAGCGGAAGAAAAGAAACUAACUAGGAUUACUAAAGUAGCGGCAAUAGAAUUAGGAAAAGCCCAGUGCUGAAUCUUACGAUAUUAUAUCGUUAAAAGAUCUGGCGAGUAGAUAUGGUUUCCGAUUUGUUUCAUAUAUCCAAAAUUCCUUUGAUAAGGGCCAAUAUCCGCAGAAGGUGCAAGAUCCGUAAGGAUGAUGAAACAACGUGUAUUACUACACUUUAGAGUGGGUUUGCUUGAAAAUGCGGCUUUCAGUUGAUUUUAAACUUCAUCUAGGACUAAAUAUUGACGCGAAUUCGAUGGCAAACAAGUACUGUGAAGGACAGCUGUGAAGAACACUGAAAAGAGAGUUCAAGAGAACGUGAAAUUGUUUGAAGUGAGAAUGGAGAGAGUUAAUAUAAUCUAGUGAAUAAAUCUUAUAAAUAUCGUAUAGAAUAAUAUGAUAUAUAAUAACAUGUAUGUCAUUAACGGCUACGUUGACAACAUUAAUAACACAAUCUGAGUUAAACAUGUUGCCCAUUAUUGUUAUAUAAUAGUGGUGUCUAAUGUUUAACAGUAAAGUUUGUUGCGUUUUAUUAAUGUGUUUCGAUUUCGAUUUCGAUCGAAUCGAUGGUGUUAACGUGAACGUUAAUCACCUCUCUGACUCGUCUUGAAACAUGGACCGAGGAGUAGAAUUUGUACGCAAGUGAAUGGAUGUGAUAAAUCUAAAGGCGUAAUGAAAAUAAAGACACGUGUAAACCGUUAACAUGGGAGGUAUUUUCGGUAAUUAUACGGAAAAUAUUACACCAUGGCCUGGUCUAAUCUGCAUGCAGAUGGGCAGCGGUAGAGCGUACAGG
rfam:Dictyocaulus viviparus strain HannoverDv2000 D_viviparus-1.0_Cont16771.1, whole genome shotgun sequence.